rnacentral:rRNA from 1 species
UGCCAGCCGCCGCGGUAAUACAGAGGCCCCGAGCGUUGUUCGGAAUUAUUGGGCGUAAAGAGAAUGUAGGCGGUCGUGCCAGUCAGAUGUGAAAGCCCUGGGCUUAACCCAGGAAGUGCAUUUGAUACUGCAUGGCUAGAGUACGAGAGAGGAAAGUGGAAUUCCCAGUGUAGGGGUGAAAUCCGUAGAUAUUGGGAGGAAUACCGAUGGCGAAGGCAGCUUUCUGGCUCGUAACUGACGCUGAGAUUCGAAAGCGUGGGGAUCAAACAGGAUUAGAUA